CGGACGGGUGAGUAACGCGUGGGUAACCUGCCUUGUACGUGGGGACAACAGUAGAAAUGACUGCUAAUACCGCAUAAGCGCACAGUAUCGCAUGAUACAGUGUGAAAAACUCCGGUGGUACAAGAUGGACCCGCGUCUGAUUAGCUAGUUGGUAAGGUAACGGCUUACCAAGGCGACGAUCAGUAGCCGACCUGAGAGGGUGACCGGCCACAUUGGGACUGAGACACGGCCCAA
rnacentral:rRNA from 1 species